rnacentral:lncRNA from 1 species
UUUGAUUAAAGCUCUGUUUUUGAGAAUCUUUUGGUGGUCCGUUCAGUUGGCUUCUAAAGCUUUGUAAUCUAGUAAGUCUUCUUAUCUUUUUACUCUUAUUUUUAUGCAUGUCCCCUUCUGAAUACUGAAAGCCUUUAAAAAAUAUCAUAUAUGAUUGUAGAAGAUGUUUACAUUCUGUAUGACAGAGAUCAAACAGAAAUAUAAGUCGCACCCGCAGGAAAAAAUAUCUUACUUUUAUCUCAAUUAUUUAUAGUUAUUUUUACGUGAAAAUUUUUCAAAGAAUUUUUACCUGUUUGGAAGAUUUGUUAUAUACAGUCUGUUAUUCUUCAAGUAUAGCACUAUUCUGAUCAAGAUUCGCAAUGACCUUAUUUCCACGUAGAGCUUGAGGUUAGGUGCUAUGCAACCUAACCACGAAAUGAUGGAGGUUAGUAUAAUGAAUAAAGAAAUACUAUGUCGAGUGAUUUUGAUGAUGCAUAGUUAUUUUACUAUGCAGUGUAGUCGAGUAAAUAUUUCUAAAUCGAAAAAAAUGAAUUGAACUGAUCAUGCAUACCAAUGCUUUAAUGUUCUUUUCUCUGCCUUGCAGGUAAAUUAUCACUUUUGGUAUAUAUAACUAUGGCUAUAGCAAAUAUGAAUUGGAGAAGAGGUGAAGAUAGGUGCAGCAAACACUGAAACAUAGGGAUCUAAGCCUCCAAUAUAAAUGUCAUUUUGUAACUGUCCAGUUGAAUAUUGUCCUACUCCCUCUCCCUCUGUCUAGAGAAAAGAGUCGAAUUCUCGAUGGGAAUACCGAGAAAUUAGGACUCUUAUUUCCAGAUGGAGGGGAGUGGGAGUAGGAAACAU